AAAAUGCGAUACUCGGUGUGAAUUGCAGAAUCCCGCGAACCAUCGAGUCUUUGAACGCAAGUUGCGCCUAAAGCCAUUAGGUUGAGGGCACGUCUGCGGGCGGAUGUUGGCCCCCCGCGCGCGGUCGGCCCAAAAGCCAGUCCCCCGCGACGGACGACGCGUUGCGACGAGUGGUGGUUGACAAACCGUUGCAUCGCCUCGCGCACGUCUAGUCCGUCACGGGAGGCCUGUCGUGACCCUAUCGCGUCGUCGCCAAGGCGCUCCGAUCACGACCCCAGGUCAGGCGGGAUUACCCGCUGAGUUUAA
rnacentral:misc_RNA from 1 species